UGUACAGCUCUCUGAUGACCCCUUGU
rnacentral:piRNA from 1 species